UGGGGAAUAUUGCACAAUGGGGGAAACCCUGAUGCAGCAACGCCGCGUGAGUGAAGAAGUAUUUCGGUAUGUAAAGCUCUAUCAGCAGGGAAGAUAAUGACGGUACCUGACUAAGAAGCUCCGGCUAAAUACGUGCCAGCAGCCGCGGUAAUACGUAUGGAGCAAGCGUUAUCCGGAUUUACUGGGUGUAAAGGGUGCGUAGGUGGCAGGGCAAGUCAGAUGUGAAAGACCGGGGCUCAACCCCGGGGCUGCAUUUGAAACUGCUUUGCUGGAGUGCAGGAGAGGCAGGCGGAAUUCCUAGUGUAGCGGUGAAAUGCGUAGAUAUUAGGAGGAACACCAGUGGCGAAGGCGGCCUGCUGGACUGAUACUGACACUGAGGAACGAAAGCGUGGGGAGCAAACAGG
rnacentral:rRNA from 1 species